rnacentral:misc_RNA from 1 species
CACCUGGCAAGAAAAGUGCCCAGGCAAAACCUGUGAAAAGUCCUGCAAAAUCUGCCAAAAAAUCUUCUGGUCUGUCAUCAAAGCAAGUUGCUACAGACACUGAUGGAACUUCUGGUUCGCAUUCUAAAUCAAAGGGAUCUACAUCUAAGAAACAGAAACUUGAAAAAGAAAGUCUUACAGACCAAAGUGCACCUAGUAAGGACAAGGGCUCAAGCAAGAAAAAAUCAGGCAAGUUGCCAUCAAAGGCUUCUGCAAAGGAUCAAGGUAAAGCCAAAUCUGGCAGGAAGGC